UACGGGGGGGGCAAGCGUUGUUCGGAAUUACUGGGCGUAAAGGGCCAGUAGGCGGCCAACUAAGUCCGACGUGAAAUCCCCAGGCUUAACCUGGGAACUGCGUCGGAUACUGGAUGGCUUGAAUUCGGGAGAGGGAUGCAGAAUUCCAGGUGUAGCGGUGAAAUGCGUAGAUAUCAGGAAGAACACCCGUGGCGAAGGCGGCUUUCUGGGACGGUACUGACGCUGAGACGCGAAAGCGUGGGGAGCGAACAGG
rnacentral:rRNA from 1 species